GUUCAUGAGCACAGUGGGCAAAGGGCAGAGCAGUGGAUUGUCUCAGCCCUGCUUCUGGUCCUAACUUACAGGAAUUGGGGAAAGGUGGCCUCUUCCCACGUCAGACUCUUCCAAGAAUAAGAACAUCUCCAGAAUCUAGGACACACCCCAGAAGAUAACAUUCUAGGGAAGGAGAAUGAACACAGCAAGAAAUGUGAGAAGAUCCAAGAUGUGCUGCUAAGCAAGGGUGCCUGAGCCCAGCAGCUCGACUCCUGAUGUGCCAGUGUGCUUCCCCAAUCUAUGGACAUGGCAAGAGACACACGAGAUUGAUUCCCAAGAGCUACAGAUGUUAUUUUUCUCUGUAAGAACUUCUGGGGAAUGAGAGCUUUGGGAGAUCCAGUCUUGAACUGCUGACUUCCUAUGGAGAGAAGUUACAUUGUGAUUUCUCCUCGUGCUGGCUCCCCGUUGCCUCACUGGUGAGGUUGCCAGUGUUAUUACCAAACAGGAAUUUUUAUGUUUAUGG